GAGACCGAGGCCCAUCAGCGUUCUGAGCCUGCCCCACCAGGAUUUCUCCUGUAUCAGCUCUUUCUGACUCACCCACUGGGUUCUGUUCCAAGAAGAUGAUUUCCCUACAUCUGGGUUCUGCUUUUUAGCCAUGCCUGUAAUUUCUGUUCUCAGUUCCAUGCAAUUACCACAAUUGAUCUGUGCCUUUCUAGACAGGGAUUUCAAUAGGAAAGAGGCCGCUGACACAGAAUACAUCAACGAUAGGCCAGACGUAAUUGAAAAACAAGAAGAGAAGUUUAGAGACAAGAUUGAACGUCAGUCCCCACCCUCCCCCAGCAACCCCGCCAACGCCAGUGUUACCAUCUACUUUGCCUCCGUCACAUUUGAAUAAGUGCAGAAGGUCACAGAUGAUGUGCUGAAGUGCUAUUUUUAACAUUUCUAAAUGGGUGCCACAGAUUGUAUGCAUUAGAAAAUAGACUACACAAUGAUUCUCUUCUGGAAGGUUCUCUUCUGCUUUAAAAAUAGAUCCACUUCUCUGAGGGCAUCAUCACUGCAGGCUGAUAUAUUCUGAAAUUUAACUUGACGUUUUUUAACCUCUAGUAGAUAGUGAAAUGAUAGAUUUUCAAGCUUUGAACUUGUGCUGUUUGUAGAUGAAACCCAUCUGAAAUAUUCUAAUGUAACGUACAUUUCAUUGGGUUUAGCUACCCGCAAAUGAUGCAGGAAUGUCCCCAGGUAAUUUCCAGUUUACCCAGUGGUACCUUCCAAAUGCUUACAUAUAGUCAAUUACUAAACGAUAUCGGCCAUUUCUACAGUUUCAUUUCCCCUGUGCUGGCUCUGUCUACUGCCCCAUCAUCUCCACUGCCCAGCUUUCCUUAGGCCCACUCCUGCCCUGCUCCCUGCUGCUGAUGCUGCUGUUUCUCUGAGACCCCCACUUCUCCCAUCUUGGCCAGGACCCCUGCCUCUGCACCCUCCUCCAUGGUACCUGUAUGGCCCCCGCCUCCCAGAAUUCUGCAGUUAAAGGAUCUAUAACCUCUUUUCAGAUGAAUCAGUGCGGACAGUGGAAUGGCAUUAACUUUUUCUUCCCCUCAGGGCUGUUAGUUACCUUGUGAAGCUCCCUAAUCAGGAAUAUGCUCUCUGUAUCCACUGGGGCUUCUUCACCCUGAGUCCGUUGACCUCGCAGCAGGCUAAGGCUGGAACUCAGGAAGUCUAUCAGUUUGGAGGGGAAAAAAACUACAUCUUCAUUUUCACUAUCCUCAGACCGAAAAUCUGCGUUUCCCUCCAUUAUGAAAGUAGGCAGCAAACACAAUAGGAGCAGCAAAUCAAUGAUUCCGCCAGAGCAGAAACCUUUGGUAUUGUUGUUGAGGGGACCAUUGUCGCAGGUACCUGCAAACAGUGUUUAUACUCACCAUUACUUUAAAAUCACAAUAAUUAUCAGACCUGCCACUAGAUGUUGUUAUUUAAAGUGUUAAUAAGGAAGCACACGUAUUACUGUAGCACAAGUUUUUUAAAAAAUAUUUUCAGAACUGUAUUUCAAUAUAAUUGGUUUCCUUCACAAUUUUAUGUAUUUUAUUUUAUUCAUUUAAGAGCAUUUUUUUCUGAGAAGGAGUCUGUGGCCUUCCCAGACCUCCAAAGGGGUCCAUGGCACAAAAUGUUCCAGAGACUCUGCCUAGGAGGUUAAUUAACAUAAGGGCUGUUAGAAAUUACUUUUCUCCCAUGUAAUCAGAGCUGUUCCUGUUAGGAGACUUGCUCUUGCAUUACUGGGGCACAAGAAUCAGAAGACCCGGCAGUCUAAUACUUGCCAACUAGACCAAGGUCUUGGACCCCCCUUGGUCUUCCUUUUACAAAGGACAUUAUCGCCUGGCUCAACCAGAAGCCUGGCUGGUCCUGUAGCCAGGACAUUGCCAUGUUGGCUUUGGAAUGACCCUUUCUGGCAAGAUGUGCGUCAUAGGUCAAAUUGUCUCCUCCACAAUAAUAUGAUGAAGUCCUCACCCCUGGUACCUGUGAAUGUGACCUUUUUG
rnacentral:lncRNA from 1 species